AGCGGGCGGAGGAGCGUGGCCGGCAGCGGGGCUGGGUGUAAGGAAUAAAAUCGGUGUAAAUUACUCCAUCCCUGAGCAACUCCGUCCUUAACCAGUCCUCCCAAGCACCCUUCUCACGCAGCAAGUUAUCCUCAGAGACCUUUUGGCUGAGUAGUCACAGAAACACCUUCCUAAAUUAACCGAGCGCUCAGGGCAGCAGAAGCAGCACCUUCGCUAUUUUCCGCUAUUUACCUUUUUUUUUUUUUUUAAUCCCCACUGUGUUAAUUCCCAUUUUAAAGUCCCCCGUAUUUACCUGCAGCACUGUCUAGACAGUUAAUGAAAUAGCAAGAGCCCAGUGGGUUUUCAGAAGAAUGUCAACAAAAAGAGAAUGAGAAAUGGACGGAUUUAAGAAUGGGAUGGGUGCUGAGCGUGCCUCAGGCGGGGUGUCCCGGGUUUAUUUGGUUUAUUCCUGUCAUUCCUAAAUUCCCCACAGGAAUCACCCCGUAGUUCUGAGGGCUGGAAGGAGCAGCAGGUCACAUUUACAAAAUGCGCUUAAAGAUGCAGUGGGAUCCCAGAGGGAUUUUUCCAGACAGUUCAUAAAACCAGCUUGUGAGUCACCACUGGAAGCUAAUGGGAGUAAGGCCUGGAACUUAUCUAGGUGCUUUUAAUAAAUCCUACUCUUUCCAUAUCGACAUGAUUAAAUGCAUAAUGUGCUUUUUUUAACUGUGACCCAGUGUUUAUCCAGUGCCAAGAGCAGCAAGCUGAGCACUAAAAUACUCUGUACUUCUGGAAAAUAGUGCCUGCUCUGGAGAAUCCAAAAUAUAAAAUAUUAACGAGCAGGUAAGUGUGCAGUCAGACUGAGACAGAAACGCAGAUUCUCCCUUGGCACCUCACAGCAGGGUUUUGUCUUUUCAUUUCUGUGCAGAUUCUGAAUUUCAGAAGUUGCUUCUGAGUUAUCAAGGACGGAUUUUCUGCUGAUUUUUUUUUUCUCUCAGCGAAUGUCCCCAGAGCUGUUGUGUUUUACAUGAAACACACUCCUGACAGUGAUUUUCAGAAAGAAAGAAAAAAGAAAAUCAGCAGUGAUUUCCUUUCAGUGUUAAUUGUUUAUUUAUCAUUCCCUUCCAUGGAUGCAGUUGGAUAAAAAAUCCUUUUUGUUCAGGAGCAUCCUGCGAGCUGCAGGAGGAGAAGGGAAAACUCCUCAUACACUGAAUAAAACACAAUUAAUGAUAUUGAAAUUAUAACAUUCAGAGCCAGAAGAACAUUAAAUAGAUGGUGUAGUUUUCUCAUGCUACUCCUGAGUUUAGAUGUUUUCCUGACAUGUUUAUUUAUCAUUCCCUUCCAUGGAUGCAGUUAGAUAAAAUCCUUUUUAUUUAGGAGCAUCCUGCAAGCUGCAGGAGGAGAAGGGAAAACUCCUCAUACACUGAGUUAAACACAUUCAAUGAUACUGAAAUUAUAAAAUUCAGAGCCAGAAGGAAAUUAAGUAAGUUUCGUCACUUUACACCUGAGUUUACAGCUGACAUGUUCCUAAAUGUUUUGAACACCUCCAGUUAUUGUCUGUGCCAUUGUGAGGUGGAGCUUCCUAAUGUUCCACCUCUGUGACACUGAGCAAACUCCAAAACUCCAAAAUCGAGCCUGGAGCAAACUGAAAGUGCCCUGAAGUGCCUCCCUUUGGCUUAAAUAGCUUAGAACUAAAUUUGUGUUUUAGGAAAAUGGAAGAAAUCUGGAGUGUUGUUUUUCCUGAGGUGUUUUCUGCUUUUAUUUGGGAAGUCCAAUUUGAGAAUUUAGUGUGGAAUUGGUGUGCUGGUUCCAUGCUGCAUUCCCGGGGGACAGCUUGGGUCAGGAAGUGGCUGCAUCAUAAAAAGAGUUGAGCAAUACCCUGUGAUGGAAUUUUGGGUGACAAAAAUUCCCUGAACACUUCAGAAGUUGCACUCAGGGGAAGAAUCCAGGCCCAAAAACAAAACCUGCCUUACCUGAGCUGAACAUUUUUCACUCUCAGAUGAAAGUUGUUGCAUCAAACUCGAUGGAGACACAGUUGAUAUUCCAUAAGUGGCCAGGAGAGGAAAUCCCAGUUGAAAUGAGUCACCAUUUUUGUGCAAAUAUUAAUUUUGGCUGAUGGACAUUUCUGCUGAUAUCUCUUUUCCAGAUCUGUCUCACAGAACAUUGUCUUGGCUGCAUUGAGCUGGAGCCUUUGGUUCUUUGAAUAACUUUCCUUUUUCACUCUUUUAUCUAUUUAUUGUAUCUGAAAGGUAAAGAAAACACAAUUUUCCCCAUGAUUCCACUUCCAGCAAUGCAGUAUUAAGUUCUGUACCGGUGGAAAACUUUGAUUUAAUAAUGCCAAAAAGCACAAUGCUGAGGAUUUGGGCUUCUAUGCUAAAAUGAGUGGAAAAUCCAAGAAGCUGGCAAGCCCUGCUUCCCAGGAUCUCCCUGCCCUUCCAUCCCCAUGCUCUGACUGGUUUGUCUUAGAAAUUAAAAUAAUUUAUUAGAAUUAUUUAUUAUUUAUUUUAUGUAGAAACAUCGGUGGACACUAGAAUUAAUAUUUAAUUUUGAAAAAUCUUCAUAUUCCCCAGCAAAACACUCUUCAAGGUUGCACCCACCAACUGUUCAGAAUUAAUUGUAGAUUAUGAGAAGAGAGGAAAUUAAUUAAGUAUUGCUCAUUCCUGGUUCCUGAUCCUUCAAACCUCAACACCUGUGAUGGAGGAACACAGGAGUGCAGAGCUGGAAUCCACAGCUCCAGGUGUCUAGAGGAGAUGUGGAAUUUUGAGCAUUAUGGGGGAAAACCAGGGCUGAAGUUGGGACUGUUAAACACAUGAAAAGUCUAGGAUUAAAAUAAAUCCCUUUUUAAUUUGUUCUUUAUCGGUCUCUUUUCAUUGUGUGGGUGUUCAAGUGCUGCUGCAAGGUGAUAAAGAACAUUUCUCCUCCCAGGAUCCUGCAGCCCUGGGGCCACUGCUCCCAUGGCAUUCCCCGUGCUGCUGCUGGGCCUGCAGGCAGAACACAAAAUUAACAUUUCCAAGCAGUAUUUUAGGGAAGGUGGCCAUAAAUAACCCAGAUUUGGACAAUGUACCAGGGCUGACAACCCCAGCCUUGCAAAUUGUGCCCCUGCAUCUUCCACAAGUGGGCAGGGGUUGGCGUUUGGCAUCCGACAGUGACAUAUUUUCUUCCUGACCUCAGCACUCGUGUCCCCUGUGGUGCCACCUUCCCCUGCAGGCUGGCAGCUGGGACUUGGGGACGCUGCAGAUAGCCAACAUUUAUUUCACCCUUUCUGUCAUUCCUGUAAAAUGAGCUGCUGCCCAGAUAAGGGACAGCCAGCAGGGAAGGGAGCUGGGAAGGGUUCCAUGAGCAGAUUAAGGGAGGGAGGCAGAAUUCCAGAAUCAUCCGGGAGCUCUGCCUUGUUUUGCUGCUUUGUUUGACAUUGUCAAGUUUGUGUUGUUUCAUUGUGGGUCUUUGUUUCAUCUUAUUUUUGGACUUCUGGGCUGCUGCAACUUGCAGAGUUACCGAGUCUCUUUGCACUUAUCUUAUCUGGGUUUCCUCAUUUCCACUAUUAGGUGAUGUCUGACACCUUUUGGGUCCAGUCUGAUUGUCUGGACAUGCAGUGAGUCACUCCCUGUCCCCCAGCAUUUUCCAACCUCCCCUCACCCCUGCUUCGAGGGGAAACUGUUUUCAGCAGGUUAUUCCGGUCCUUUGAUGGGUACAGCCACAUCUGGAUGAGGCUUAAGAUGGAAAUCUUACAGGAAAAAAAAAAAGGUGUUCUGCUCAUUCUUCAGGAGCUGUGACAACAGCAGGGCAGGAAUGCUCUGAUUUCACAUUUAUUUAUCUGCUCUGAUGUGAUUCCUGGUGAUCUUGUCUCAGCCCCGAGGCCCUGGACACUCAACUAACUCACUUUUGCUCUCCAGCAUCCCAGAAGAGCCGGCUGAUCCGAACUGGCCCCGGAUGAUUGCCAGUUAUUAAUGCCGAUUAUUAAUGCCGAUUAUUGCCCAAGAGCAGCUUUGAUCCUCCGCGGGCUGAUCCCAUCGCAGCCCGGGGCUUUAAUCGCAUUCCAGCGGGCAUCCCUAAUUCCCCCGGAGUGCAGAACAAUCCCUGAAGGCAGCCUGCUUCCUCUGCAUUGGAGCUGCUGGCGGGUGCCCAGCGAUUACCGACUCCUCUGAGUCAUUUAAGUGUGAUGCUUGGCUAAAAAAAUUGUUUCCAAGAGCCCUAUCAUCAUUAAUCAUUAAUUAAUGCGAUUGCCCACGGCUGGAAGCGAGCAGGUGUCUCGGGCCGGCUGGAAGAGCCCGUGGCACACACAAGGUCUGGGCUGUCCCCGUUCCAUCCCUGCCGAGUCACUCAGCAGUGGCAGGACCUGGCAUUUUUCCCUGCCCAAAGGAGUUUGCAAUUUGAAGAAGCGCUGCUUUCUUCAUCCUGCCUUUCGAGCCGUUCCCACGUCAGUCAGCGGGAUGAAUUCCCGUCUUGCUUUUAUUGAGAUGGAAAUGAGGGCGCUCAGGGCUUCACCCAACCUGCGGGAGAGAAGUUCCACCGCAGGGAGUGCCAGGGAUGGGUGCAAGGCUCUGUUCUUCCAGCUUCACCCUUGAAAUGUGCUGGAAUUAUGGUUUGGGGACUGAAACGGGGAGGAAAAAAGGGGUUUGAGGGAGCUGACAAAUGCCAGAACUCAAAUCUUACAGCAGGAUGCCAGAGUGGGGAGAGCUGGGGGCAGGAAAUCAGUGUGAGGGACAGGGCUGGGUGACAGGGUCGUGGGGAGGGUGGCUCAAAGGUAGGAUCCAAAUCAGAUCUGGCUCAGGUGAAGGAUCCAAAUCACAGCUGCACAUCUGGAUCAGGUAAAGGAUCCAAAUCACAGCUGCACAUCUGGAUCAGGUAAAGGAUCCAAAGCAGAGCUGCACAUCUGGCUCGGGUAAAGGAUUCAAAUUAAAGUUGCACAUCUGGCCGAAGUAAAGGAUCCAAAUCAGAGCUGCACAUCUGGCUCAGGUGAAGGAUCCCCCCAAACACUGCUGCCAGCACCUGCUGGUGGCUCUCUGUCCCACUUGAAGAAGCCCUUAGGAUGUGAGUAACAGCUCCAAGUUCCUCGAUGAGACCUGCAAAGUGCUCAAUUAAAAUAUGAUUGGUUUAUUGGGGAUAAGACAAUUAGGAAUGAGUUGAUGGAUGACUUGCUGCUGCUGGAUUUGAGAGCCCCACAGGCCCUGUGUUCUGAAGUGCCUCCCAACAUUUCUCACUUAGCUGUUAGACCAGAAAUAAAAGUUGGUUUUGCAUUAAAAUGCACAUCUCUAAACAAUUUCAUUUUAUUUAUUAAGCAAAAGGAAAAUAAUACUAAAAUAUUCAUAAUGUCAGCCUUUUAAAACAUUUUUACCCCAGUACCAAGGGUGAUAAAAACAUCUUCUAGAGCAAAAGAAAAAGCAAGAAAGUGAUGGGAGUCUUUAGUUCCCAUAAAUUUAAUUCCUAUAAAGUCUGGACACCCUGGGCGGAUGCCUUGGCUCAAAAAGGACCUCCUGUCUCCUCCUUUUUGUCCUGGUUUUUAAUUGGAGCCAGGAGAAGGAGCCCAGCAUUUGCCAGGUGAAGGCGAGCUGUGCCCUGGCAGGACGCCCGCAGAGCCAUUCCUGGUUUGUAGAUUAAAAUAAGGACAGGGAAAGGGGUGGAGAGGGAGGAGAAGGAAACCCGAGAGAGAAUAGCAAAACACUUUGUUCUAAUUCAGGUGAAAAAGUUCAUCUGGGUGUCCUCACAGAGCGUCUGCCACGUACAGGGUGGAGGAGGAACAAAUUCCUUUUGGACAUGAGCUGUAUUCCUGAAUUAUCCCGGUGUGCCAGCCUCUAGGAACAGCUCCCUGCUCAGACAGCACUCCCAGGGGAGGCUCGGGGAGCAGCUUGGGCACAGGGCUGAUUUUUGGGUGCUGUUUGUGGUGUUGGGACUGAACCAGUGCAGCUCUGGCUGUGUUUGAUCCUUGAGUCUCUUUCCUCAGCAUGAAAAUGUGCAGUGUCCUGAUAAGAGCACGAGGAGCUCCGGAGCUGAGUGGUUUCAGCUCCUGGUUACAAAGCCGUGGCAGACAGAGGUUCUGAGCCCGUUUUUCAACUUUUGAAUGAACCACUUCUCUUUGUGGAGUUUGAAUUCUAAAGGGCUUCACGGCGACAGCCAAAUUUCACAGAAUCAAAGAAUUCUGGAAUGCUUUGGGUUGGGAAGGGACCUUACAUCUCAUCCCACCCCGUCCCCUGCCAUGGCAGGGACACCUUCCACCAUCACAGGCUGCUCCAAGCCCUGUCCUUAAACACUUCCAGGGAUGGGGCAGCCACAACCUCUUGUAUUCUUCAUACAUCCACACUUCCUCUUACUUCAGGUAAUUAAUUCCUGUUAUUAAGCCCCCUAAUUCCCAGAUUUUCCUGCACGCAGUGCUUGGUCACUAAUGGCAAAAGCAGCCUUGCAACAAAUCCCCCUGAAAUUCAGUGUUGCCACUCUCACUGAAUGGGUCUGCUGGGGCAUUUUCCAUCCAGAGAAUUUUCUGAUACAAAAUAAUCUCUUUGCAAAAUCAAACUUGCUCCUGGAGCCUGCCAGAGUUUUGCCAGAAAAAUUCAGCUCAGUGGGGAAAUGGAAGUGACAGCAUCCUGCUUGCCCACCUGGAAGCCUCACAAUGUAACUUUUUUUUGCUGUUUAUUGAAGGAAAAAAAAUAAAAUAAAAUGUUUCUUUAAUUUUUCAAGCAAGCAAACAAAAACUAAUUAAAAAAAAAAAACAA